rnacentral:rRNA from 1 species
AUUGAACGCUGGCGGCAGGCCUAACACAUGCAAGUCGAGCGAGCGGCGGACGGGUGAGUAAUGUAUGGGGACUGCCCGAUAGAGGGGGAUAACUACUGGAAACGGUGGCUUAUACCGCAUACUGUCGGAUGACCCAUGUGGUAUUAGCUAGUAGGUCAGGUAAUGGCUUACCUAGGCGACGAUCCCUAGGUGGUCUGAGAGGAUGAUCAGCCACACUGGGACUGAGACACGGCCCAGACUCCUACGGAGGCAGCAGUGGGGAAUAUUGCACAAUGGGCGAAAGCCUGAUGGAGCCACGCCGCGGGUAUGAAGAAGGCCCUAGGGUUGUAAAGUACUUUCAGUCGGGAGGCGUUACCGACAGAAGAAGCAACGGCUAACUCCGUGCCAGCAGCCGCGGUAAUUC